GACGAACGCUGGCGGCGUGCUUAACACAUGCAAGUCGAACGGAAAGGCCCUGCUUUUGUGGGGUGCUCGAGUGGCGAACGGGUGAGUAACACGUGAGUAACCUGCCCUUGACUUUGGGAUAACUUCAGGAAACUGGGGCUAAUACCGGAUAGGAGCUCCUGCUGCAUGGUGGGGGUUGGAAAGUUUCGGCGGGUGGGGAUGGACUCGCGGCUUAUCAGCUUGUUGGUGGGGUAGUGGCUUACCAAGGCUUUGACGGGUAGCCGGCCUGAGAGGGUGACCGGCCACAUUGGGACUGAGAGACGGCCCAGACUCCUACGGGAGGCAGAAGUGGGGAAUAUUGCACAAUGGGCGGAAGCCUGAUGCAGCAACGCCGCGUGCGGGAUGACGGCCUUCGGGUUGUAAACCGCUUUCGCCUGUGACGAAGCGUGAGUGACGGUAAUGGGUAAAGAAGCACCGGCUAACUACGUG
rnacentral:rRNA from 1 species